rnacentral:rRNA from 1 species
AGCGGUGGAGCAUGUGGUUUAAUUGAAGCAACGCGAAGAACCUUACCAGGCCUUGACAUCCAAUGAACUUUCCAGAGAGGAUUGGUGCCUUCGGGAGCAUUGAGACAGGUGCUGCAUGGCUGUCGUCAGUCGUGUCGUGAGAUGUUGGGUUAAGUCCCGUAACGAGCGCAACCCUUGUCUUAGUUACCAGCACGUUUGGUGGGCACUUAAGGAGACUGCCGGUGCAAACCGGAGGAAGGUGGGGAUGACGUCAAGUCAUCAUGGCCCUUCGGCCUGGGCUACACACUGUACAAUGGUCGGUACAGAGGGUUGCCAAGCCGCGAGGUGGAGAUAAUCCCACAAAACCGAUGUAGUCCCGGAUCGCAGUCUGCAACUGAUGCGGAAGUCGGAAUCGCUAAAAUAAAGAA